CGGGGUGUAGUACAGUGGUAGUAUACACGAUUCGGGUUCGUGAGACGGGAAUUCGAUUUUCCCCACCCCGA
rnacentral:tRNA from 2 species